rnacentral:tRNA from 1 species
AUGUAAAUAUAGUUUAAUAAAAACACUAUGCUGUGGACCUAGUAACAAGGGCCCAAAGCCCUUUAUUUACC